rnacentral:rRNA from 1 species
GGGCUAACAUGCAAUCCAACGGUAACAGGAAGCAGCUUGCUCUUUGCUGACGAGUGGCGGACGGGUGAGUAAUGUCUGGGAAACUGCCUGAUGGAGGGGGAUAACUACUGGAAACGGUAGCUAAUACCGCAUAACGUCGCAAGACCAAAGAGGGGGACCUUCGGGCCUCUUGCCAUCGGAUGUGCCCAGAUGGGAUUAGCUAGUAGGUGGGGUAACGGCUCACCUAGGCGACGAUCCCUAGCUGGUCUGAGAGGAUGACCAGCCACACUGGAACUGAGACACGGUCCAGACUCCUACGGGAGGCAGCAGUGGGGAAUAUUGCACAAUGGGCGCAAGCCUGAUGCAGCCAUGCCGCGUGUAUGAAGAAGGCCUUCGGGUUGUAAAGUACUUUCAGCGGGGAGGAAGGGAGUAAAGUUAAUACCUUUGCUCAUUGACGUUACCCGCACAAGAAACACCGGCUAACUCCGUGCCAGCAGCCGCGGUAAUACGGAGGGUGCAAGCGUUAAUCGGAAUUACUGGGCGUAAAGCGCACGCAGGCGGUUUGUUAAGUCAGAUGUGAAAUCCCAGGGCUCAACCUGGGAACUGCAUCUGAUACUGGCAAGCUUGAGUCUCGUAGAGGGGGGUAGAAUUCCAAGUGUAGCGGUGAAAUGCGUAGAGAUCUGGGGAAUACCGGUGGCGAAGGCGGCCCCCUGGACCAAGACUGACGCUCAUGUGCGAAAGCGUGGGGAGCAGACGGGAUUAGAUACCCUGGUAGUCCACGCCGUAACGAUGUCUACUUGGAGGUUGUGCCCUUUGAGCGUGGCUUUCGCUAACACCUUACUCUACCGCCGCGGAACGGCCGACGUUAAAACUCAAAUGAAUUGAGGUGCCCGCAAGCGGCGUGCUUUAUUCAUAAACGACUGCUCUCCCAGGAGAAGACGAG